rnacentral:rRNA from 1 species
GACGAACGCUGGCGGCGUGCUUAACACAUGCAAGUCGAACGGAAAGGCCCUGCUUUUGUGGGGUGCUCGAGUGGCGAACGGGUGAGUAACACGUGAGUAACCUGCCCUUGACUUUGGGAUAACUUCAGGAAACUGGGGCUAAUACCGGAUAGGAGCUCCUGCUGCAUGGUGGGGGUUGGAAAGUUUCGGCGGUUGGGGAUGGACUCGCGGCUUAUCAGCUUGUUGGUGGGGUAGUGGCUUACCAAGGCUUUGACGGGUAGCCGGCCUGAGAGGGUGACCGGCCACAUUGGGACGGGGAUACGGCCCAGACCCCUACGGGAGGCAGCAGUGGGGAAUAUUGCACAAUGGGCGGAAGCCUGAUGCAGCAACGCCGCGUGCGGGAUGACGGCCUUCGGGUUGUAAACCGCUUUCGCCUGUGACGAAGCGUGGGUGACGGUAAUGGGUAAAGAAGCACCGGCUAACUACGU